UUUUUUUUUUUUUUUUUUUUGCAUUCUUUUUUUAUUUGCAGCAGUGGCAGUUCUCGGCCACUGUAUGUAACCACCCCUGCAUGUUGACUGAUAAAUCCUGACCAGAGCCGACCCAAGGCAUAAGCGAACUAAGUGCCUGCGUAGGGCCCCAUGGCCAGUAGGGGGCCCCCAAAAGCAAUAAAAAACAAAAUUUAAAUAUUUUUUAUUUUUUGCAUGUAUGAGUGAUGCUUUCUGUAUGAUCAAAUAUAUAUUAUUGUAAAUAUAAAAUAAAGUAAA